rnacentral:rRNA from 1 species
AUGAUACCAGCACAACAACAGAAGCACCAGCAAACGACCAAACUACUGCCACCUCCAACCAAGCGACAGGACAAACCACAUGUCAGCACAAGUGGAAGCAAGGAACCAGUCACAGGCACCAGCACAGGAUCAUAUGAAAUAUUCGGAAGGAUGGAAGAAAUGUUGAAACAAGUACUCGACGAAACAAAACAGAUACCCGGAAUAACGACAAGGGCUGGACACCAAUGCAGCGAACAAGAGAAGGAAUUAGAUGAAAGAAUGAGGAACACAGUGGUGCAACAAACAACGGCCAUGAUUUAUUCUCUCGAACAACUUAGAGAAUUCCAGGACAUUGUUCGCAGAGUGAGCUUUCAAGAACAGACGACGCUGAAGCUGCAGGAUCGAACAGACAUAGUAGACACACCUGCACUUGUAGAUGGCAACCACACAAAAGAAGUCGUAGCCGCACCAGAACCUGGAGGGAGGAGAAAAAUAAAGAAGGAAGGACAGGACCAUCAAAACAAACAUGAAAGGAAGAAAAGAAUAACAAAAUCAAGAACACAGAACUCAAGAAUUAGCCAGAGGGAGACAGAAGAACAUAACAAGGUGCAAAAGGAGCAAAACAAGGAGGACGUAUCAACCAACACAUCAAGUGCUGAAGGACAGCAAGAACAAGGAAGAGAAGUAGCUGCAGAAGCAGAGAAUCAAGGUGAGAAACAGCCAGAUAAGUAUCAUAUCGACGCUCCCGCAAACGAGCCACGGGCUGAUCUAGCAUCGACCGUUAACAGCACGGCAGAAAAACAAGAAGAAAACAACAAAGAAGAGGUAUUACAGGCACAACAAAUAGAAGAGGAUGCCCAUGCAAAACAGAAAAUUCAUAUAGAAGAGCUUUUCAGCACAAGAGCAUUUCAGAUGACCAAUACAGGGGAGAAAUCCUCAGACACUCCACCUGGUGACACACCCAAGGCUAGCAUACAAAGCAAAGAAAAAGUGGACGCACAAACGGAUAUCCCAACCACCAGCGCAAACGAAACAAACGAGGACGGUCAUGCCAAAGAACAACAAGGAGUACAGACAGAACAAACCAAAAAAUAA